rnacentral:rRNA from 1 species
AGAGUUUGAUCCUGGCUCAGAACGAACGCUGGCGGCGUGCUUAACACAUGCAAGUCGAACGCGAACGAGUUCUUCGGAACUUCAGUAGAGUGGCGCACGGGUGAGUAACGCGUAAGUAAUCUACCCUCGCAUUUGGGAUAACCCACCGAAAGGUGUGCUAAUACCGGAUACGUCUAUUUUAAUAUCUUUUUUAUAGAGAAACGUGGCCUCUGAUUCAAGCUACUGUGCGGGGAGGAGCUUGCGUACCAUUAGCUAGUUGGUAGGGUAAUGGCCUACCAAGGCAACGAUGGUUAGCGGGUCUGAGAGGAUGAUCCGCCACACUGGAACUGANACACGGACCAGACUCCUACGGGAGGCAGCAGUGAGGAAUAUUGCGCAAUGGGGGCAACCCUGACGCAGCGACGCCGCGUGGAUGAUGAAGGCCUUCGGGUUGUAAAAUCCUGUCAGAUGGGAAGAAGUGUACUAUGGUUAGAGCUGUAUUAUUUGACGGUACCAUCAAAGGAAGCACCGGCUAACUCCGUGCCAGCAGCCGCGGUAAUACGGAGGGUGCAAGCGUUGUUCGGAAUUACUGGGCGUAAAGCGCGCGUAGGCGGUUGUAUAAGUCAGAUGUGAAAGUCCAUGGCUCAACCAUGGAAGUGCAUUUGAAACUGUAUAACUUGAGUACUGGAGGGGGUGGUGGAAUUCCCGGUGUAGAGGUGAAAUUCGUAGAUAUCGGGAGGAAUACCGGUGGCGAAGGCGACCACCUGGCCAGAUACUGACGCUGAGGUGCGAAAGCGUGGGGAGCAAACAGGAUUAGAUACCCUGGUAGUCCACGCCCGUAAACGAUGUGAACUAGGUG